rnacentral:rRNA from 1 species
AACGAACGCUGGCGGCAUGCCUAACACAUGCAAGUCGAACGAGACCUUCGGGUCUAGUGGCGCACGGGUUCGUAACGCGUGGGAACCUGCCCUUAGGUUCGGAAUAACUCCCCGAAAGGGGUGCUAAUACCGGAUAAUGUCUUCGGACCAAAGAUUUAUCGCCUAUGGAUGGGCCCGCGUUGGAUUAGCUAGUUGGUAGGGUAAAAGCCUACCAAGUCGACGAUCCAUAGCUGGUCUGAGAGGAUGAUCAGCAACACUGGGACUGAGACACGGCCCAGACGCCUGCGGGAGGAGGCAGUGGGGAAUAUUGGACAAUGGGCGAAAGCAUGAUCCAGCAAUGCCGCGUGAGUGAUGAAGGCCUUAGGGUUGUAAAGCUCUUUUACCCGGGAUGAUAAUGACAGUACCGGGAGAAUAAGCUCCGGCUAAAUCCGUG